rnacentral:rRNA from 1 species
CAGCUCUCCGAGUGGUAGGGAUGAUUAUUGGGCUUAAAGCGUCCGUAGCCGGCUUAGCAAGUUUCAUGUUAAAUUCAGCGACCUAAUCGUUGAGCCGCGGGAAAUACUACUAGGCUAGGAGGCGGGAGAGGUCGACGGUACUUCUGGGGUAGGGGUGAAAUCCUAUAAUCCCGGGAGGACCACCAGUGGCGAAGGCUGUUGACUAGAACGCGCUCGACGGUGAGGGACGAAAGCUGGGGGAGCGAACCGGAUUAGAUACCCGAGUAGUCC